GUAGGGAAUCUUCCGCAAUGGACGAAAGUCUGACGGAGCAACGCCGCGUGAGUGAAGAAGGUUUUCGGAUCGUAAAACUCUGUUGUCAGAGAAGAACAAGUUGGAGAGUAACUGCUCCAGCCUUGACGGUAUCUGACCAGAAAGCCACGGCUAACUACGUGCCAGCAGCCGCGGUAAUACGUAGGUGGCAAGCGUUGUCCGGAUUUAUUGGGCGUAAAGCGAGCGCAGGCGGUUCCUUAAGUCUGAUGUGAAAGCCCACGGCUCAACCGUGGAAGGUCAUUGGAAACUGGGGAACUUGAGUGCAGAAGAGGAGAGUGGAAUUCCAUGUGUAGCGGUGAAAUGCGUAGAUAUAUGGAGGAACACCAGUGGCGAAGGCGACUCUCUGGUCUGUAACUGACGCUGAGGCUCGAAAGCGUGGGGAGCAAACAGGAUUAGAUACCCUAGUAGUCC
rnacentral:rRNA from 1 species